rnacentral:tRNA from 1 species
GCCGAGGUAGCUUAGCCCGGGAGCAGUCCAAAACACUUCUACUCCUGACAGCGCUAGACUGAAGAUCUAGUUGUCGCUGGUUCAAAUCCGGCCCUCGGCGCCA